rfam:Arabis alpina cultivar Pajares Aa.chr6_contig_2815, whole genome shotgun sequence.
UAAAUUGCAAUGAGUUAACACGUAAGAAGAGGACUCUUUGUGAGAUCUUUCUUCUAUGAAAUAUAUAUCUUACACUUGUCAUCAUUAC